rnacentral:rRNA from 1 species
ACGAUGGAAGCUUGCUUCCAGGCGUCGAGUGGCGGACGGGUGAGUAAUACUUAGGAAUCUGCCUAUUAGUGGGGGACAACUCGAGGAAACUCGAGCUAAUACCGCAUACGCCCUACGGGGGAAAGCGGGGGAUCUUCGGACCUCGCGCUAAUAGAUGAGCCUAAGCCGGAUUAGCUAGUUGGUGGGGUAAGAGCCCACCAAGGCGACGAUCCGUAGCUGGUCUGAGAGGACGAUCAGCCACACUGGGACUGAGACACGGCCCAGACUCCUACGGGAGGCAGCAGUAGGGAAUAUUAGACAAUGGGCGAAAGCCUGAUCUAGCAAUGCCGCGUGUGUGAAGAAGGCCUGAGGGUUGUAAAGCACUUUCAAUAGUGAAGAAAAGCUUAGGGAUAAUACCUUUAAGUGUUGACGUUAACUAUACAAGAAGGACCGGCUAACUCCGUGCCAGCAGCCGCGGUAAUACGGAGGGUCCAAGCGUUAAUCGGAAUUACUGGGCGUAAAGCGCGCGUAGGCGGUUAAGUAAGUCGGAUGUGAAAGCCCAGGGCUCAACCCUGGAAUUGCAUUCGAUACUGCUUGACUAGAGUAUGGUAGAGGGAAGUGGAAUUUCAAGUGUAGCGGUGAAAUGCGUAGAUAUUUGAAGGAACACCAGUGGCGGAA